UUGUGGACCGAUUUUUUAAAG
rnacentral:piRNA from 1 species